rnacentral:rRNA from 1 species
GACGAACCACCCAAACGUUAUUCGGAAUUACUGGGCUUAAAGGGUGCGUAGGCGGCGCGGAAAGUCAGAUGUGAAAUCCCUCGGCUCAACCGAGGAACUGCGUUUGAAACUACCGUGCUUGAGUAAGACAGAGGUAAGCGGAACUUCGGGUGGAGCGGUGAAAUGCGUUGAUAUCCGAAGGAACACCGGUGGCGAAAGCGGCUUACUGGGUCUUUACUGACGCUGAUGCACGAAAGCUAGGGGAGCAAACGGG